rnacentral:rRNA from 1 species
UACGUAGGGUGCAAGCGUUAAUCGGAAUUACUGGGCGUAAAGCGUGCGCAGGCGGUUGUGUAAGUCUGUCGUGAAAUCCCCGGGCUCAACCUGGGAAUUGCGAUGGAGACUGCAAGGCUAGAAUCUGGCAGAGGGGGGUAGAAUUCCACGUGUAGCAGUGAAAUGCGUAGAGAUGUGGAGGAACACCGAUGGCGAAGGCAGCCCCCUGGGUCAAGAUUGACGCUCAUGCACGAAAGCGUGGGGAGCAAACAGG